GACAAAAGCACUGCAUAUAUGUC
rnacentral:siRNA from 1 species